UAUAUAUAUAUAUGUAUAUACACAUAAUAUGGUUGGAAAGAUCAUUUAAAAAGUUAACAGUAAUUGCCUCUGGAGAGCAAUUUUCAGGACAUCAGGGUGGCAGGGUUUAUAAGGAGACUUUCCUUUAGUCUAAUCUCUCCUAUGUUGAUUUCUUCUAAUCAUGUGAACAUGGUUUACAUUAAUUUUCUGACCAUGGAUUCAUAGGUGACUCAAAUGAUUACAUUAGCUGUCUUUCACCACCCCGCACCCCCAUAGCAACUAUCAUGCCUCACCCCCCGUUUCACACAGUCCAGGCACAUGGCCACAUGUGAUAAAGAACACAAAUUUCUCAAGACAAAAAUCUUCCUAUUUCUUAGUCACAAUUCAGGUCUGCUUUUAAUAUUUAACUAUUAAUUCUACGUGCUGGAGUUCGCAAUUUACUUCAACACAUUCUCUGUCCGGGGUAUACCCUUGGGCCUCAGUUAUUUGUGGAUUAGACAGUAGAAACUUUAUAUCAAGUCCUUGACCAAUCUCUUAAUUAUUUACCAUGUCAAAGAUUCUUCAGUGUUGUUGCUUUUAUUGCACCCUUGUGGACCAUUUGCUAAAAAGCAAUUUGCUAUUUUGGAGAUAAAUUAGCUUUAUUACUUCCUGUUCAUGCACAUUGAAAAGCACCGUGGACUGUUAUUUUCCCUAACUCAUCCCUCAUCCUCAGCAUCAAUGCAUCUAUUAAAUCUAAAGGCGUUUAUUUUUCACAUCAUAAAAAGGUAGAGUUAGGUUAUUUGUCCUGACUAAAAACACAAAAUACUUUUGCUAAUUUAUCCUGCAGAGUUGCUGGGUUUUAUUUCCAUGAAAUUAAUCAUGACAAACCAACAAGCAAAGAAUCACACUGAGUGCUUUUCAGUUUAUUGAAAUACAGUGUUAGUUUAUUCUUUAUGUAUAUGGAGUAUAAGAUUUUGAGAUUUAAUACUGUACUAAAUUUCUAGAAACAUAGAAUUAUUAAAACAUUUGAUUUUUAAUAAGAGAUAAUGGAUACAAAUAUUCCUCUUACCUUAAAUAACUUUGAUGUGUUUCAGACCCAUAUAAUGAGCCAUUUAUGUACAGUGUAAUAUCAACCUGUAUAGUAAUAGCAUUAGUAAAAUACAGAGUGCACUUUCAGGGUACUUAACAAACUGCUUGAAUUAGUAAAGAACGAAAUCAAUAAUAAUAUAAAUGUUUAAUUAUAAAAACAUUAUUGAAAAUAAUUAUAAUGCUGAAAAUUGUAGUUAAACCAAACUGUUUAUUAUAGACUAAAGUUUAUUGUAUUCUAUUUAUUUCCUUUUAAUUCAGUUGUAUUUACUUUUUUGUGAUAAAUGUUACAUUGCUAAGCAGUAGUAAGUUUUUAGUAAUAUCAUGUCAGUCAUUUCAAAUACUUUUUUUUUUACUUUGUUAAAAUAAAGCUGACUAAUUGGUAUUGUCACACUCAUUGGGAAAACACACACAAAGACACACACAUACAAACUGAGGUUCAGAGAAGUUAAAUGAUUUGUAUAAGAUAACAGCAAGUAACUGGAAUCUAGUAGUCUCCCCUUAUCAGCAGUUUUGCUUUCUGUGGUUGUAGUUACCUGUGGUUACUUGUGGUCUGAAAAUAGGUGAAUACAAUACAAGUAGGUAUUUUGAGAGACAGACCACAUUCGUGUAACUUUUAUUACAGUAUCUUGUUAUAAUUGUUCUAGUUUUAUUGUCAGUUAUUGUUGACUUCUUACUGUACCUAACUUAUAAAUUAAACUUUAUCAUAGGAAGAACAUAUGUAUAGGAAGAAACAUAGUAAUAUAGAAGGUUUGGUGCAUCCAUGGUUUCAGGUAUCCCCUGGGGGACUUGGAAGGUAUACCCUGCGAAUAAGUGGGGAUACUGUAUCUGAAAUACAAACUAAGAUUUGUCUGAUUAUACAAACCAUCUUAAAAUUGUCUUACAAUUUAGUGCUAAAAUGUAAUAAUGUACAAAUAUGUACAUGUAAUCUAAUGUAGCUAAAUAUGUUAAUUGAAAUAAAAUUAUAUACUGUAAAUGUUCAUAGUAAUUAUCAUUAAAUUUGUAAUAAUGCAAGUAUCUUUAUAGCUUUUCUCAACUGAACUGCAACUAGAGUUCUGUGAUUAUGCUUAGGGUAAACAUGUCAUUUUUCCCAUUUCACAGCUAAAGUACAGGGGUUGGAACAGUCAGCCAAGGUGAGGAUGAUUUUGAAUGACUCCAAAGGCCCAGGAUUACACAGACAGAAAUCUAAGGGUUGUGUCUUACUAGGGAGUCCUCUACUCUUGAAAUCCUUUUCUUUCUUUACUUGUACCCCAAAUUGAUUUUUACUCUAAUACUGCAGGCUUGUGGCCUGAACUCAUGGCUUUCAACUUCACAAAAUUGAAAGUAGAGAAUAUUUAAAAAUUAGUUUCCCACAUAUAUUUAACAGUGUUAUUAACCACUGAAUCAGUAGAGUCUAGAUCUAAAUGGUAUAGAUCCAGUAAUUUUUAAUGUUCCCAUUAUGUAUAGAGAAAAGUCUGAGAUGUUGUUUUGCAUUGAUUGGCAUUAGAUUUUCAGAUUUGAAAAGUUUUUGGGGUAAAUUAUUCAGUUUCCAUAUAUUCAGAAGAGUUUUGUUGAAACCAUCCAAAUGUCCUUAAUUACUUAAGGUAUCUUCUUGGGGGGGUUACAAAAAUAGUCAUCUUUGAGUUCUGAGACAAAAUACUGCAAAAUAAUGGAUUUAUUCAUUAUCUGAACGGAAAUGUAACUGUUUGCAUGCUAAAAAGAUACACCCUCUCCCUAAGUUAGUUCACAAUUUUUAGGCAUGAAGGACUGUAAAAGUAUGAGUCAGGUCAUGGUGAAAUGGGGAAUCAGCUCCCAUUUGAAACCUCCAGAAAUAACUCUCCUCCAAGUAAGUGGCUACAGAAUUCUUAAAAAGAGGAAAGAACUUUCAGUUUCUCAGUGGCCAUUUUUUAUUGCAUAAUAAACCUGACAAGAAUAGACUUCUAUUCCUAGAAUUGUCAAUUUGUCAUAUCUGAUGAGCACAAAGUGUCCUAUUUUUAAACUGACGCAUACAGGCCUUGCUCCUGCUAUGCCUGCAUUGUAUAGUAAUGGCAUAUUUAGAAAUACUGUACAAUAGAAAUAUUUCUGCUAAUUUUCAGAUCUAAAAAGGAGACAUUUCUCACAUGUCUAAUAAAGAGCAAGGCUCUACUGAAUAUUAGUCAGAAAAAUUUGCCCAGUAUCAUUGGAUAUUGCGAUACAUAUUUAUCAAGCAGCUUCUACAAGCAAGAUCAUCUACCAGGUACUUCAUACUGAAAGGUGGCAUAAGACAAAACAACAACAGUAAAACACCCAGAAAAGUAAACCAUUUAAUAGAGAUAUACCCUCGGUGCUAUAAAGCCACAAAAGAAAAGCCCAUUGCUUUCUCCUGAUCAGGAAAAGUGCAGCAAUAUUAGGGUUUAUGUUUGUUUGUUUGUUUAAGGUUUCACAUAAGAUGUGUAGAGCUUUUGAAAUACUGUGAGAAAACAUGGGCAAAGUGAGCUAGGCAAGAAGCAUCUAAAAUGCACAUAGGCCUGGAAGGAGCAUGACCCACAUGGGAGACAAGAAUUUCAGGAGAGAGUACAGGACACGUGUGCCAGCGGGCUGCAGAUCAGGUCGAAGAGAAACGUGAGGUCCAGAUACAGCAAAAGUUUAAUACUGCUUGAGAGGUUAGCAUACACUUUGUCUCAUUCCAAAGCAAUAAAGAGUGUUAAGUAAGGAAGAGAUCCUCGGGUUUGUGUUUAGAAAAGUUAGGCAGUAAUAUGCAGGAUGUAUUGGAAGUGGACUUGGGAGAUUAAAAGCAAGAAAAUAGUGUUAGAAAGUAGUUUGCAUGGUUGAAGAAAAAGUUGUAAGGGCUAAAUUCAAAACCUGAUUAACGUCUACACUUCAUGGGUAUUUAAAGAUAAAUGUGUACAACUUUAAAUGGGAUAAAA
rnacentral:lncRNA from 1 species